rnacentral:lncRNA from 1 species
GGGAGAGGGGAAGAAAAGGCUAGACUGUGAUAGUGCUGAGCCGAGGGCCAAACUGUGAGAGUUGUGAGCCGAGAUAAGCUUAGUGCUACCUCUUUUCUUUUGUUUAUUAUUUUCUUUGAAUAAGAGGAUUGAAAGUUUCUGAAUAUUGUGAAGUGAAUUAUGGAAUGGAAAUGUGAUUGGUAUUAUUUGAGAAGAAAAAAGAUUGAAUGCUGAAAUCUGAUUGUAGUUCAACAGAGAGAAUGAAUUUGUGUUUGUGUGAAACACUGUAAUGUGAAUGGCAAUUCUGUGUGAAGAAUUCUAGUGAUUGGAAUGAGGGUAAUUGUGUACUGAAAGCUGUGAAGGGGCAGUAUUACAAUUGGAGAUUAUGAGGGUGAAUAUAUUGGUGGAAAUAGCAAUUAUUGAUAUGACUAAAUUGCUGUAAGGAAGAGACCGAUAAGGUGAAGGAGGAGAUUAUAGUUUCCUUGUGUCUUCAGAUAUUGAAAAUAAAGAUGAUACAUUUAGGAGGUAAUUGAUUGUGUGACGCUAACAUGAA